UAAAGAACAUUUUAUUCACCGC
rnacentral:siRNA from 1 species